rnacentral:lncRNA from 1 species
AUGGGAUCUGUGGGGCCUAUUGGGCUCUAUGGGAUCUAUGGGGCCUAUUGGGUUCUAUGGGGUCUUUGGGGCUCUAUGGGGUCUAUGGGGGCUCUAUGGGGUCUAUGUGGGCUCUAUGGGGUCUAUUGGGGUCUAUGGGAUCUCUUGGGGUCUAUGGGGUCUCUAUGGGGUCUCUAUGGGGUCUCUAUGGGGUCUAUGGGGUCUAUUGGGGUCUAUAGGGUCUAUUGGGCUCUAUGGGGUCUCUAUGGGAUCUAUGGAGCCUAUUGGGCUCUAUGGGAUCUAUGGGGCCUAUUGGGUUCUAUGGGGUCUAUUGGGCUCUAUGGGGUCUAUGGGAUCUAUUGGGGUCUAUGGGCUCUAUUGGGCUCUAUGGGGUCUAUUGGGGUCUAUGGGGUCUCUGUGGGGUCUAUUGGGAUCAGUGGGGUCUCUAUGGGAUCUAUUGGACUCUAUGGGGUCUUUAUGGGUUCUAUUGGGGUCUAUGGUGCUCUAUGGUGUCUACUGGACUCUAUGGGGUCUAUUGGGUUCUAUGGGGUCUUUAUGGGGUCUAUGGGGUCUCUGAGGGGUCUAUUGGGCUCUAUGGGGUCUAUUGGGGUCUAUGGGGUCUCUAUGGGGUCUAUUGGGGUCUAUGGAGGUUCUAUGGGCUCUAUUGGACUCUAUGGGGUCUCUAUGGGGUCUAUGGGGGUCUAUGGGGUCUCUAUGGGGUCUAUUGGGCUCUAUAGGGUCUAUUGGGCUCUAUGGGGUCUCUAUGGGGUCUAUGGUGUCUCUAUGGGGUCUAUUGGGUUCUAUGGGGUCUAUUGGACUUUAUGGGGUUUCUAUGGGAUCUAUUGGACUCUAUGUGGUCUAUUAUUGGUCUCUAUGGGAUCUAUUGGACUCUAUGGGGUCUCUAUGGGGUCUAUUGGGGUCUAUGGGGUCUAUUGGGGUCUAUGGGGGUCUAUGGGGUCUAUGGGGGUUCUAUGGGCUCUAUUGGACUCUAUAGGGACUAUUAUUGGACUCUAUGGGGUCUCUAUGGGCUCUAUUGGACUCUAUGGGGUUCUGCCCUAA